rnacentral:rRNA from 1 species
UUCGCGCGCCGUCCGCGCCUUUAGUUCUUCGAACCGUCGUCGAACGCGUGCACUUUUCCCCUAGUAGGACGUCGCGAUCCGUUGGGUGUCGGUCUAAGGUUCGCGGUGGAGCACGGGCGGACGUUUCGGCGUUCCGCACGUACCCGCGAUAUCCCGGCCGACCCGCUCGACGGUAUAAUUAUGGCGCGGGGCCGCUACCCAGUUAGCGUUCGACCCGCGGCAAGCGCGUCCGGUGUGACGGCGAUCGGACCUGGUGCCGAUCCCGUCCCCGGUCGACUGUUGGCUGCGGUGAUCUCGAACAGACCCCGUUGAAACGCCGAUCUGCGACGCUAUAGCUUUGGGUACUUUCAGGACCCGUCUUGAAACACGGACCAAGGAGUCUAGCAUGUGCGCGAGUCAUUGGGACACAACUAAACCUAAAGGCGUAAUGAAAGUAAAGGUUCGCCUCGCGCGAACCGAGGGAGGAUGAGUGGUUUGCCCUUAAAGUGGCCGCUCCGCACUCCCGGGGCGUCUCGUUCUCAUUGCGAGAAGAGGCGCACCAAGAGCGUACACGCUGGGACCCGAAAGAUGGUGAACUAUGCCUGGUCAGGACGAAGUCAGGGGAAACCCUGAUGGAGGUCCGUAGCGAUUCUGACGUGCAAAUCGAUCGUCGGACC